GGAAUAUUGGACAAUGGGCGCAAGCCUGAUCCAGCCAUGCCGCGUGAGUGAAGAAGGCUCUAGGGUUGUAAAGCUCUUUCAGCAGGGAAGAUGAUGACGGUACCUGCAGAAGAAGCCCCGGCUAACUCCGUGCCAGCAGCCGCGGUAAUACGGAGGGGGCUAGCGUUGUUCGGAAUUACUGGGCGUAAAGGGCAUGUAGGCGGAUCGACCAGUCAGAGGUGAAAGCCCCGGGCUCAACCCGGGAACUGCCUUUGAUACUGUCGAUCUAGAGUCCGGGAGAGGAUAGUGGAAUUCCCAGUGUAGAGGUGAAAUUCGUAGAUAUUGGGAAGAACACCAGUGGCGAAGGCGGCUAUCUGGACCGGUACUGACGCUAAGGUGCGAAAGCGUGGGGAGCAAAC
rnacentral:rRNA from 1 species